GCGGAAGUAGUUCAGUGGUAGAACACCACCUUGCCAAGGUGGGGGUCGCGAGUUCGAACCUCGUCUUCCGCUCCA
rnacentral:tRNA from 151 species